ensembl:ncRNA ZK39.11 ncRNA
UAUAUAUGUACGUAUAUAUUAUGGUACAUAUAUAUAUAUAUAUAUAUAUAUAUAUAUACAGU